AGGUCUCUAGACACAAAGUUCCUUCCAAUGCCAGCUGGUACAAUCUCAUCUUCGGUUGGGGGUACAGAAUUCAGUGUGAAUGCCUUAAGGUAUGUAUGAAGGAAAUAUUAGCUUUCAUUUGAAAUAAUACUCCUUCAGAAGACAUCUAGUAAAAUUGAAGCAACAAUCAUGCUAUUCUUUUUUUUUUCCUUUCUUUUAUUAUCUUAAUGUUAUUGAUACGGCCAAAGACUUACAUCUGGUUAGGUUCAUAUUGGGGACUUGUGUUUUAUCUCACUCCUUUUAGCAUAAGAUGGUCCAGUACAGAUUAUGAUGCACAAAAGAAAUUUUACCAUUCCAUGACUGUUAAAUCCAAAAGCACAGCUUGGAAGCUCUCCUGCAUAUGUGUAAGCUAUGAAAGAUAAUCCAUUUGACAGUUUUCGCUUGAUCAAAUAGCUGCAAAUCCAGCAUAGACAUGAUUACAUUUUACGAGUAUCUAUUUAUCAUACAUAUUGCACUGUCUAGAAUCAGAGCAGGAUGCAGGAAACUAAAAGAGCAUACGUGUGGCCAACUAGAGCGACAUUUGCAUCCUCGUUAUGAGCUGCAAGGGCCAUCAAAUCGCUAACAACGAG
rnacentral:lncRNA from 1 species